UUUUUUCUUUAUAACUAAAAUAUAAUUAUUUAAUAAAACUAUAUAUAUUUUUAAUAAUUAUAUUAUUAAAUGUUUUCACUACCAAAUUUUAUAUUUCUAUAAAAGCAUUCAUAACUUUUUAGCAACUAAACAAUUAUUGCUCGUUGGUUCUAAGUAACAAAAUUCUCUUCGCUAAUGAAUUGACCACUAUUUCUCCCACUUUAUGCUAAUUAGUCCAAUUUUUAUUUCUUUGGGGUCUAUGGAGACAUUUCUGGGGCACAUUUGGGGCAGUUUUGGGUCAGGGGAGGGAAUUCAGAGAGAACUUCAGGGUCUGGAGGACGCUUGGGGGAGCCGGGUGAGCACUGGGAGGGGCACUUAGGGAUUCUGUGGGACGAUUCGGGGUCCGGGACAGCACCUGGGGGUCCAGGGGGACACUUGGAGGUCAGGGAGGGGAAUCUGGGGGCGCUUCGGGGUCCGGGCGGGCACUUGGGGGGCCCUACCAGGGCUCUCUGGGCCGCGGGGGAUGAUGGGAGUUGUAGGCGCGGGUAUAAUACGGUGUAACGGCACCGCGGAGCAUCACGGGAGUUCCAGGCACAGCUCCAAUGGCUCUCGGUGGGGCGCGGGGCAUGACGGGAGAUGGAGUCACGGCUGGAAUGGCGCUCUAUGUGCGCCGCGGAGCAUGAUGGGAGCUGUAGUCCCAGGAGUGGCUCGGAAGGGGCCCAUGGGGGUCCGGGAAGGCCCUUGGGGGACACUUUUGUGUCCGAGCCGUGGCUGGAGGUCCUCGGGGGGAACGUGUACGGCUGGGGAGCACUUGGGGGGAGCCUGGGGAGCUCUAAGCGGGCUCUUUACGGCGCGGGGCACGGCAGAACCUCACUCGAUGUUUCCCACAGCCUUCAAUCAAUCCUUAACUCUGACUGCCCAACUCCCACAGAGAACUGGCUGCACUCAGGCAAACAGGGGUUUUCUCCUUUUCCUUUCCUUUGAAGCCAUGGAAAACUCCCAAGUUUUCCUGCUGAGAACAGAGAUACUCGUCAAGUGUGUGCCGAGCCCAAGGUGCCACCAAUGAGGUUCCCGUGCCCUAGGGCAGAACCCUGCAAGGAAUGUUCUAGACCUUUGCACUGCUUGGUUCCACGAGGCCUCGCUCUGUCACAAUGGACUUUUGGUUCCAUGAGGUUCCACAGUGUACAGUGCGUUAUAGAUACAUUUUAUAUUGUUGGCUUUUUGCAAAUAUUAAAAUGAAUGUUAUGUGUGUAAGAAUGAGAAAUUUUGUUGUAUUAAUAUAGUUUUCUUUAUUUCUGUUACUGAUGAAAUUUAGAAAUAGUGGCAUAAUACAUAUAUGUUAGGCUAUGGCAUAGUAUUAAAAUAAAAACUGCUUUUGUUUGUAUAACCCA
rnacentral:lncRNA from 1 species